rnacentral:rRNA from 1 species
GAUGAACGCUGGCGGCGUGCCUAAUACAUGCAAGUCGAGCGAACGGACGAGAAGCUUGCUUCUCUGAUGUUAGCGGCGGACGGGUGAGUAACACGUGGAUAACCUACCUAUAAGACUGGGAUAACUUCGGGAAACCGUAGCUAAUACCGAAUAAUAUUUUGAACCGCAUGGUUCAAAAGUGAAAGACGGUCUUGCUGUCACUUAUAGAUGGAUCCGCGCUGCAUUAGCUAGUUGGUAAGGUAACGGCUUACCAAGGCAACGAUGCAUAGCCGACCUGAGAGGGUGAUCGGCCACACUGGAACUGAGACACGGUCCAGACUCCUACGGGAGGCAGCAGUAGGGAAUCUUCCGCAAUGGGCGAAAGCCUGACGGAGCAACGCCGCGUGAGUGAUGAAGGUCUUCGGAUCGGAAAACUCUGUUAUUAGGGAAGAACAUAUGUGUAAGUAACUGUGCACAUCUUGACGGUACCUAAUCAGAAAGCCACGGCUAACUACGUG